CCCAUGCUCCAGAGAUGUCCACUCUCGGAUUAGGAGUGCCUUAUUCUAUUCUUCCAGUGCCUGAGCCAAACCCCAAAGCAUUGAAAGGGAGAGUAGAGCUGUGAGUGCCUCCAGGCUGCCAGUCUUCACUGUAUCUGUUUUAUCCACUUGUAAAACUGGUUGGAACAUAACAGGUACUUUUCUUUUCCAAGAGCUCUUCAUGUUAGUUGAAGAAGGAUUUCCUAAGCAAUGGUAUAGAUUAGCAUGGAAGACCAAUGUGUCCCCUGCAAAGGAAGUCAAAAUUUGUCAUGUUGAUUGCCCUCAAUAGUCUCUCAAGAGGAAAGUUACACAAGUUGAGAAAAUAGUAAUCAUAUCAAGAGAUUAACAGUGGAAAAUGCUUUCUGGGUCAGAUUUACA